rnacentral:rRNA from 1 species
AGCGAACGCUGGCGGCAGGCCUAAUACAUGCAAGUCGAGCGCGCCCUUCGGGGUGAGCGGCGGACGGGUGAGUAACGCGUGGGAAUAUGCCCUUCUCUAAGGAAUAGCCUCUGGAAACGGAGAGUAAUACCUUAUACGCCCUUUGGGGGAAAGAUUUAUCGGAGAAGGAUUAGCCCGCGUUAGAUUAGGUAGUUGGUGGGGUAAUGGCCUACCAAGCCUACGAUCUAUAGCUGGUUUGAGAGGAUGAUCAGCCACACUGGGACUGAGACACGGCCCAGACUCCUACGGGAGGCAGCAGUAGGGAAUCUUAGACAAUGGGGGCAACCCUGAUCUAGCCAUGCCGCGUGUGUGAUGAAGGCCCUAGGGUCGUAAAGCACUUUCGCCAGAGAUGAUAAUGACAGUAUCUGGUAAAGAAACCCCGGCUAACUCCGUGCCAGCAGCCGCGGUAAUACGGAGGGGGUUAGCGUUGUUCGGAAUUACUGGGCGUAAAGCGCACGUAGGCGGAUUAGUAAGUUAGAGGUGAAAUCCCAGGGCUCAACCCUGGAACUACCUUUAAUACUGCUAGUCUUGAGUUCGAGAGAGGUAAGUGGAAUUCCGAGUGUAGAGGUGAAAUUCAUA